AGACGCUCCCGCUCCAGAUUCUCAGUAAUCCUGGGCACGGAGCUGCUGAUCCAGCGCCAAUGGGGCCUCGCACACACAAAGCUUCCUGCUGAGUUGCCAUGGUGUGGGUCCCAGUACCCUCAAAGGGCGGUUUUCAGUCUAAGAGAUGACAGCAGCAUGGUUCAGAGGAGCGAGGUGCCUUGUCCAAAGCCAUGAGCUAGGAUUGGGACCUGCUGACCUCACUGUCUCAGGAAGACACGGCAGCGAAAGUACAUAUUCAGGUUUCUGCUGCAAUGCCUCAACUCUGCCAUUACGGGACAAAAGCAGCUGGAGACUACGUGUUAAUGAACAAGCAUGACCGUAUUGGAGUAACAUCUUAUGGAUUCUGAAAUGCAAGU